rnacentral:tRNA from 1 species
GGGUGAUUAGCUCAGUUGGCUAGAGCGUCUCGUUUACACCGAGAAGGUCGGGGGUUCGAGCCCCUCAUCACCCACCA